rnacentral:rRNA from 1 species
GAUGAACGCUGGCGGCGUGCCUAAUACAUGCAAGUCGAACGAGGUGCCUUUGUAGCAAUACGAGUGUAUCCUAGUGGCGAACGGGUGAGUAACGCGUUGGUGACCUACCCCAAAGUGUGGAAUAACAGUCCGAAAGGAUUGCUAAUACCGCAUGUGGUUAUCGGGUUUAGAAACUGAUAACUAAAGGAGCAAUUCGCUUUGGGAGGGACAUGCGUCCCAUCAGCUAGUUGGUGAGGUAAUGGCGCACUAAGCCUACGACGGGUAGGUGACCUGCGGAGGUGAGCCCCAGACACGGAAGGGAAGCACGGUCCGGAAACCUUCGGGUAGGAGCGGUAGGGAGUAUGGCACAAUGGGCGAAAGCCAGGUGGAGCAUCGCAGCGUGAAAGAUGAAGGCUUGCGAGUAGUAAAGUGCUUUUCUGGGAGAUGAGAAAGGACAGUAUCUCAGGAAUAAGUCUCGGCUAACUACGUG